rnacentral:rRNA from 1 species
AUGAACGCUAGCGACAGGCUUAACACAUGCAAGUCGAGGGGCAGCGGGGGUAGCGAUACCCGCCGGCGACCGGCGCACGGGUGAGUAACGCGUAUGCAACUUGCCUAUCAGAGGGGGAUAACCCGGCGAAAGUCGGACUAAUACCGCAUGAAGCAGGGAUCCCGCAUGGGAAUAUUUGCUAAAGAUUCAUCGCUGAUAGAUAGGCAUGCGUUCCAUUAGGCAGUUGGCGGGGUAACGGCCCACCAAACCGACGAUGGAUAGGGGUUCUGAGAGGAAGGUCCCCCACAUUGGUACUGAGACACGGACCAAACUCCUACGGGAGGCAGCAGUGAGGAAUAUUGGUCAAUGGGCGCGAGCCUGAACCAGCCAAGUCGCGUGAGGGAUGAAGGUUCUAUGGAUCGUAAACCUCUUUUAUAAGGGAAUAAAGUGCGGGACGUGUCCCGUUUUGUAUGUACCUUAUGAAUAAGGAUCGGCUAACUCCGUGCCAGCAGCCGCGGUAAUACGGAGGAUCCGAGCGUUAUCCGGAUUUAUUGGGUUUAAAGGGUGCGUAGGCGGCCUUUUAAGUCAGCGGUGAAAGUCUGUGGCUCAACCAUAGAAUUGCCGUUGAAACUGGGGGGCUUGAGUAUGUUUGAGGCAGGCGGAAUGCGUGGUGUAGCGGUGAAAUGCUUAGAUAUCACGCAGAACCCCGAUUGCGAAGGCAGCCUGCCAAGCCAUGACUGACGCUGAUGCACGAAAGCGUGGGGAUCAAACAGGAUUAGAUACCCUGGUAGUCCACGCAGUAAACGAUGAUCACUAGCUGUUUGCGAUACAUUGUAAGCGGCACAGCGAAAGCGUUAAGUGAUCCACCUGGGGAGUACGCCGGCAACGGUGAAACUCAAAGGAAUUGACGGGGGCCCGCACAAGCGGAGGAACAUGUGGUUUAAUUCGAUGAUACGCGAGGAACCUUACCCGGGUUUGAACGCAUUCGGACCGAGGUGGAAACACCUUUUCUAGCAAUAGCCGUUUGCGAGGUGCUGCAUGGUUGUCGUCAGCUCGUGCCGUGAGGUGUCGGCUUAAGUGCCAUAACGAGCGCAACCCUUGCCACUAGUUACUAACAGGUAAAGCUGAGGACUCUGGUGGGACUGCCAGCGUAAGCUGCGAGGAAGGCGGGGAUGACGUCAAAUCAGCACGGCCCUUACAUCCGGGGCGACACACGUGUUACAAUGGCGUGGACAAAGGGAAGCCACCUGGCGACAGGGAGCGAAUCCCCAAACCACGUCUCAGUUCGGAUCGGAGUCUGCAACCCGACUCCGUGAAGCUGGAUUCGCUAGUAAUCGCGCAUCAGCCAUGGCGCGGUGAAUACGUUCCCGGGCCUUGUACACACCGCCCGUCAAGCCAUGGGAGCCGGGGGUACCUGAAGUCCGUAACCGCGAGGAUCGGCCUAGGGUAAAACUGGUGACUGGGGCU